UACUUUAAAAUGAGGAGGACCUGCCACGGGAAGACAGAUUGGGUCCAUGUCAAGUUCAGGGGACAUGAAAUUAUUCACCCACAUCAGCAGGAUGGCAGUAGCUGUGGUGUGAUUGUCUUCAUGAUGGCAAAGGCAUUGAUGGAGGCCUUCCCCGCAAUACCGUUCAUGUCCUUUGGGACAAAAACAAAAGACAUGGUGCAGGAACGUCGCGACAUGGCUCUGGAAAUACUCAAUGCCUCAGGUGUGUCAGCCUUUCAUAUUUUUUCUAUUAUGACAAUGUACUAUAAAAUUCUAAAAUGUAAUAUUUUUUAUUAAUUUUUGACAUCGAAAACAACUGUGCAAUGUGUGCUGCCCAAAAGCCACCCAUUCCAGGGCCUGCAAUCACUGAAUGGAUUCAGUGUGAUAGUUGCAGCAGGUGGUUCCACGCAGACUGCCUGGGGAUCCAAAAAGAACAGCUGACACACAUUAAGAACAAUGAUUGGAUAUGCGCUUUGUGCAGUAAUUAAAUACGCAUUCAGUGUUUCUUAUGUUCUCGGUUUCUUUUUAUAAGCCUGUAUCACUGUGAGAACAGUAAAAUUAUUUGUAAUAAUAUGUAGUAGUAGUAGUAAUA